rnacentral:rRNA from 1 species
GACAGAGGCCUCAAGCGUUAGGCGGAAUCACUGGGCUUAAAGCGUGUGUAGGCGGAUCGUUAAGUGCUUUGUGAAAUCCCACAGCUCAACUGUGGAACUGCUUGGCAUACUGACGGUCUUGAGCCAUCUAGGGGUCGCUGGAACAAACGGUGGAGCGGUGAAAUGCGUAGAUAUCGUUUGGAACGCCAAUGGUGAAAACAGGCGACUGGGGAUGUGCUGACGCUGAGACACGAAAGCCAGGGGAGCAAACGGG